CACAAUGCACAGGUUGCUAGUGUGGCGAGGGGACUCAAAGACUAAAGAUGUGUAUUUUGAUGAUAUCAUACACAUCAUCAAGGAAGAAUCAAUAACCAACAACGUGAUAGAUGCUUAUGGUGAAAUUCUACUUGAACUACAAGGGCUAGUCAACCCAAGUUUGGAAGAUUCAUCAUUCAUCUUUACAAGCACAUGUUUGAAAAUCACGCAAGAGUACCCCCCCACAAGAGGAAUAAACUGAUUGAUGUACACAUCAAGGAGUAUCAAGGCCAGAGAUUCUUAAUCUUCCCAAUACACGACAACUUCCAUUGGACAAUUG